UUGAUAUCCACUGUGCUCUCGACCGUCGCUGGGGUGAUGAAUUGAUGUCAACCCUUGUGCUCAAUCAAGUUUUCAAAACACUGAAGAUCAGCAGAAUGCAGUUACUUGCCAUAAUCCCAAAUUUUUGCAUAAGUUGUCCCAGGUGGGGUACUCAACUUAUCGGGAAAUUCUUUCUAUUUUUAUGUCUCUAAUUUUUGCCUAGAUCUCCCUUUCGGGUUUUCAAUCCACCGCGACGCUCAUUUUUGCCUAAGCCGCCCUUUCGGGUUUUCA
rnacentral:lncRNA from 1 species